AGACUAUGAUGAGGGCAUCUUCGUUGUAGCUUCCGAUAACUCUCCCAAGUCUCGUACAAUGUCUCUUCUUCUUGUUGACAAAAACUAGCUAUAUCCAUGCAGUUU